rnacentral:misc_RNA from 1 species
AAACACACACACACACAACACAGAGGCCCUUGGACUUGGAGUGUGGACAAGAAAUCUUGUAAAUUUAAUCUCCCUAAAAGCUUAAACUAGUUGGUGAGUGUCCAAAAAUUGUUUAUAUCUCUAACACUGCCCUUCAUGCAAAGCCCAAGUGUUAAUAAGAGAUCUUGUAAUUUUAAUUAAUAAGAGGAGGAGCCCAAGAUUCAAACUCUAGGCCGUCUAGUUAGAGGAAGAAAAUACCAUGAUUAAACCACUCAACCUUUUGUAGGUGAGGACACAAGAAUAAUUUAUAUCUCUAACAAAGUCAAGUUGGAUAAAGUAUUCAGUAUUU